rnacentral:rRNA from 1 species
CAGCCGCCACGGGAAUACGUAGGUGGCAAGCGUUGUCCGGAAUUAUUGGGCGUAAAGGGCUCGCAGGCGGUUUCUUAAGUCUGAUGUGAAAGCCCCCGGCUCAACCGGGGAGGGUCAUCGGAAACUGGGAAACUUGAGUGCAGAAGAGGAGAGUGGAAUUCCACGUGUAGCGGUGAAAUGCGUAGAGAUGUGGAGGAACACCAGUGGCGAAGGCGACUCUCUGGUCUGUAACUGACGCUGAGGAGCGAAAGCGUGGGGAGCGAACAGGGUUAGAUACCCCAGUAGUCCCUGUCUAUUAUAC